rnacentral:antisense_RNA from 1 species
CUUGAUCGACCCCAGCCACAGCGGUUCGCUACGGCCCUGGCCAUAGGUGGCCAACAGUGCCUGAGCCUC